AGGUUCGACUAAGCCAUGCGAGUCGAAUGUAGCAAUACAUGGCGAACUGCUCAGUAACACGUGGACAACCUGCCCUUAGGUUGGGUAUAAACCCGGGAAACUGGGUAUAAUACCCGAUAGGUCUCGAUUGCUGGAAUGCAUCGAGAUUUAAAGCUCCGGCGCCUAAGGAUGGGUCUGCGGCCUAUCAGGUAGUAGUGGGUGUAGCGUACCUACUAGCCUACGACGGGUACGGGUUGUGAGAGCAAGAGCCCGGAGAUGGAUUCUGAGACACGAAUCCAGGCCCUACGGGGUGCAGCAGGCGCGAAAACUUUACAAUGCUGGCAACAGCGAUAAGGGAACCUCGAGUGCCAGGUUACAAAUCUGGCUGUCGAGAUGCCUAAAAAGCAUUUCAUAGCAAGGGCCGGGCAAGACCGGUGCCAGCCGCCGCGGUAACACCGGCGGCUCGAGUGGUAACCGUUAUUAUUGGGUCUAAAGGGUCUGUAGCCGGCCGGAUAAGUCUCUUGAGAAAUCUGGCAGCUUAACUGUCAGGCUUUCAGGAGAUACUGUCUGGCUCGAGGCCGGGAGAGGUGAGAGGUACUUCAGG
rnacentral:rRNA from 1 species